rnacentral:sRNA from 1 species
GUGUCUGUGUGUCUGUGUAUGUAUCAGAAUGGAACCACAAAGCCUGGACCCUCUAAAUGCAAAGAAACCUUAGGUGGGGAUUAUGGAAAACCAUGCUGGUGCUUGGUCCCUUCCUCCUCAGUGGAGCUCAGUGUAGGCCAGGCAGUCUUAAAUACUUUUCCUCUAUCCUCUACCAAGUCCCACUCACCUGGAGGACAAAAACCUCCCAGGCAAAGCCCACAGGGAUCUUUUGCCUUUGUUCCUCCUCACCUAGGCACUCCUGGGCACAUGGCACAAGCCUGUAUGCUCCUUCCCAUCCUAGACCAUGAAGUCACAGUUGGGGUCUCUCCUUGUUGGAAUUCUCUCUGUGGCUCUGCGGCCCUGAAGAGAGUGACGAGGUGUGCAGACUUGAGGUGAGUGACACUUAUAGUGCCUUCUGAGUUGGAGGAAGAUGAUUAUUCAAAACAGCAUAGGACUAUCCACGCUGAUCAUGAAUACAUUGAGCUAUGAGUGGUCCAGGUUGCCAUAGUAACUCCCACAGGUGGGCUGGCUUUGACCAACUGAAAUUUACUGGUUGACAAUGGAGAGAUUACUUGCUUAUCCUAAACACUUUCAUUUUCUUCUGGCGUUUGUACACAGUCCUCCUUCUGGGUAUCUAUAACCUAAUUCUCCCUUCUCAUGAUGACGACAGGCUGAUUGAAUGGGAGGCCACCCUACCUCUCGCCACCUCAGUCACCUCUGAAUACCAUCUCAUCCAAAAAAGCACUGCACAUUAGGCCGUCAAUAUACAAAUUUGGACGGAGACAUAAUUUUAGUCCCUAAUAGUCACACGGUAAGUACCUAACAACUUUAGACCCUCCCCUUUUCUCUAGACCCUCCCUCGUCACACACACCCCUCACUAGCUAGAAUGAAGCUUGAGGGGAAGACCUAGAAAAUCAGUUGCUUCUAGGUCAGUGUUCUGGAGGAAGCUUUUGAAGGGAGCAACUGGUAAGCUGUCUCCCUGGUUCAUGGGGGCCCCCAAGUACCUUGCAGUGUGUAUGCGGAUUGGCUACUCUGCCUUGUGGCUGUGACCCCAGCCUUCAGGUAAGAAUCCUCCAUAUAGGAUUCCCAUCCCCACCACGGCAGCUGAUGCCACUUAUGCUUCGGUUCUGGGGAGUGGGGGAGACCCCACUCCUUCCAGGCCUGCCCCGGGCACUUGUGAUCUCAUAAGACAGAAGAGGCCACAGGCAGGCCUCAAUGGAGAUGGGCUUAAGGCACCAGCAACCAGAGGCUGCCAGAGGCCUCCUGCAGCCAUUUCACGACUGCCUUCAUCCUUGUCACUAAUGAGCCUUCGAUUCCAGGAAACUCUGAAAGGAAGAAGGGACACCUGCAUCCUGUUGGGAGAGAGCCCUGACGUAGUGAAAAAGCACAAUGAGACAGAGCUAGGAGUGGCACAGGCCAGAUGAGGGUCACGAGGGCUCAGGAGAAGAUGGUGACCCAGCUGAGUCUGGAAUGGGGAGGAUACUACAGCUGAAUGCAAGCCGGAGGCCCAGAAACAGGACACACACGGUACAGGGGCCAAUUUCCAUGUAACCAGGUGAGCCACAGCCUGAGCAGAAGACCAAGUCCUCUUAAGCGGAGGCCGGGGCUUUGAACACACCUGAGAGGGUGCUCAAAGCCUGUCUGCCACCAGGCAUCUCUACAGACAGACCCCGAGUGGGAGAGGCCAGUCUGUUCUCUCUCGGCCCCUACACCUCUGCUGUGUCUGAACUAAACCCUGCCCUGCAGCUUGGCAGCCCCAAACACUCUGCCCACUGUCAGCAUUACUGCUUUCCAGGAAUCUCCUGUUUUUCAAACUAUUUUUGCCAAGAUGUGUUUUUUUUGCAAACUCCUGGGCCCACCUCCCUUCCCCUCAGUUGAACUGAUGAAACCAUUCAUCUUCCAGCCCCAAGCAGACUCCCUGACACCCCACCCUCACUCCAACUCACUCCAGGUUCUGGCCAAGAACCAGAAGUCCUAGAUGUGGAAGGCAGGCCUGUUUGUCUCCACCAGAGCUGGCGGCACCGAGGGGCUGUGGUCUGCUCGCCCCCUGGCAGUGCACACACUGGCAGACACUCCCCAGGGUACACACUUGUACUGCAAGCUACGUGUUCUGGCAAGAAACAGCAAAGACUCAUUUCCGUCUAUAUUUUGACAGAGAUUAAGGGCAAAGGCCUUUUCUAAAUCAUUCUCCAAAGAGCCAUACUUCAGACUCGUUCUGCAGCUCAGUGUCUCCCGCCCCACAGAAGCCCAUCAAUACUCAUCAAUACGGUAGAUAUUUGUUCAAAUUCCAUAGUGAGUGCAGGUUGGCGAUGGAGGAAGGGCUUCAGGCUUGAUCAUGCCUGGUGCCUGGCUAUUGUUUUAACUCAACUGUGCAAGAAAACCAUGGUGUUUACCAGCCCACAGCCAUCCUUCAGCAGACCCCACAGACACCUAAGGAUGGAAGAUAUAUUGAGUUAUGGAGUAUGAAAUAUUAUCAGAGUUUGGUGUCUAUUAAUGUCUUAAGGAGAAUUCCAUCCUAUGGGAAAAUCUAAAAAUCCCAUAGCAAGUACAUAGAUCCCACUCACUUUCCUUCUCCCUGUCCCCAGAUACCUCCUGGUUUAGUUACCCAAGAGCAGCCACGGUUGUCUCUGCUGCCUCGAGCUAUCACAAAGGUACCACUCCGGGACACGGGUUGAAGACACACAGCCUUUUAACAUGACAUUUAACUGAGAGUUGGUGCCAAAGAGUCCUUGUGAGGAAGAGUCUCACUGUAUUCGGGGCAGCUAGAGUCAACCCACGCGCCUCCCUCUGGGGCUCAAAGGACUUGGGUUGUGGGACCUGCAGGCACCACCGUCAUCACCGACAGUCUCUUAUCUUAAAAUCCGAGCCCAUCACAAAUGGUGGGAACUCGGAGUGGAGGAAGGAGUGCGAGCUGCCAGAGUGGAGAGCAAUGAAGAUCUCCCCCAGGGACAGGAGCGCCCUUGGCCUGUGCCAUUGGCAAGGAGAAUGUGCCUGGUAAGAGGCAAAGAGAGUGGCGCGGUGGGGCUUUGCCGUCCUACUCCCCCGCUGCCCUCUCUCUCUCUUCGUUUCUCAACACAGUGACUUAAAGAUCCACAGUGUGCGCGCAGUCUGCGGUCCUGGCAACGUGGUAGGCCCUGGGAGCGUGAUGAGGAAGAGGACACACACAACCACCUUGCUCACGUAGUUUCUGUGUUAGAUACCUUCAGCUUUUCUAAAGCACAGCCUCCCAGAGGACAGCUUGGAUUCUAACAGUCUCUUAAGGACGGCUCAGUCUCCAUUCCAAUAUGACAGACAAGUGUGUGAAGGGAAGGUGGAUGAUGGCUGCCAUGAAUUAGAAGAAGACAUCUUUGACCUCACCACUCAAGAACUCCCCAGCCAUAUUCUUUAAGUUGAUUUCUCCUUGCCUCAUCACCAAGGUUCAUAGCAUUGAGCUGGAACUAAUGAUGGAUAAAGAGGAGGCUACUUCUGUGUGGCCAGGGUAGUGCUGGGGUAGCCUGUGAGAGGUCUGUUCAAGAGACUUACAUUUUCUCAAAUUCUUUCAAAUUACCAAUAACCACCCUGUGCCCCAACCAUCAACUCUGGGUGGUUAUUAGCAUUGGUUCUGGUCUCUAACCUCUCCCUUUACUGUUAACCCAGUGCUAAGCCCUCCACACCAUUGAGGAAAUGACCCAGAGGCAAGAGUAGGACCUAGUCCAGACUACAGCUCCACAGGGAACUGUGUCAAGCCAAAGCUCCUGGGACAACUGGGAAACCUUUGCCUGUCGGUCCCUUAAUGCCCAGCUAAGUGGUCAGAUGACAGACAGGCAAGGAUUCCACUAACAGUGAUGCUGCGGGCUUCUGUCGAAAUCAAACUGUUGUUCACUGUUUGAAGUUCCUCUACAUUGUAUGAAGCAAUAGUUUUUCAAGUUGCAUCUUGUCCUGAAGGACUCCAUUUUACAAAUGAAGGACCACAGGGACUCUGAACUUCACUGUCUAGCACCAACCACAAGGCACAGACUGAUUAAUGACAUAUUCUCAAAAGUGAACACAUUAUCACUCUACAAAUGUAUCAGAGCAUCUUGAGACCAUAUGAGCCCAUGGACAUACAAAAAUCACAGUAAGAAUACCAGGCCUGAGAGCUAAUCGAACACACCAGAAGAAGAACAACAGUUCCCACCAACCCCUGUUAGGCUUCACACUACUGCUGCUAAGUUCAUCUUGAACUGCCUCCCAUCUGUCCACCUGAUGGUUCAUCUAGACCCAGUCCAUCCCUUUGUCUCUACGGCCUCCACAAUCACACUCUUCACAUGGGCAGCUCAGGCUGACCUCAGACGCAACUUAGCUCUGACACACCCUGUAGAUCUGUAAGAGGUUAAUUACAUGAUUCCAACAGAGGCUUGCUUUGCUUCUGUGCUUCCCCCCACCCCCCUACCCUCGCUUUGGCCUUUCAGUAAAGUCACCUCCUUGAGCUAUAUUUCUUUAACUAUUUUCAACUAUUUUGUGACCUACAGAAGGAGAGAGAGAGAGAGAGAGAGAGAGAGAGAGAGAAAGAGACAGAGAC